GUCCCCUUCGUCUAGAGGCCUAGGACAUCGCCCUUUCACGGCGGCAACAGGGGUUCGACUCCCCUAGGGGACGCCA
rnacentral:tRNA from 1 species